GAUAGUGAACUGAUCUUCAGUCCAUUUGCUGGCACGUCCGCGACGUUUGUAAUCUGAAACAACAACAAUUAGACCGGUUUACAUGACACAAAACUGUUUCUAACAUUGGUUUGGUUGCUUUGGUUUGCUCCAUCUCCAUAAGCAUGCAACGGAAAAGCAUAACAACAAGUAUAAGAGAUAUAAGAGAAGAAGAAGAAGAUUGGAGUACCAAUUCACCAUUUUGAAGGCUGGUUUCAUUAACAAUCUGGAAAAAGUGAAUGGGGC